rnacentral:rRNA from 1 species
AACGAACGCUGGCGGCAUGCCUAACACAUGCAAGUCGAACGAGACCUUCGGGUCUAGUGGCGCACGGGUGCGUAACGCGUGGGAACCUGCCCUUAGGUUCGGAAUAACUCCCCGAAAGGGGUGCUAAUACCGGUUAAUGUCUUCGGACCAAAGAUUUAUCGCCUUUGGAUGGGCCCGCGUUGGAUUAGCUAGUUGGUAGGGGAAAAGCCUACCAAGGCGACGAUCCAUAGCUGGUCUGAGAGGAUGAUCAGCCACACUGGGACUGAGACACGGCCCAGACUCCUACGGGAGGCAGCAGUGGGGAAUAUUGGACAAUGGGCGAAAGCCUGAUCCAGCAAUGCCGCGUGAGUGAUGAAGGCCUUAGGGUUGUAAAGCUCUUUUACCCGGGAUGAUAAUGACAGUACCGGGAGAAUAAGCACCGGCUAACUCCGUG